GGAGGUAAAGCUCAGUGGCAGAGCAUGUAUUUAGCAUGCAUGAGGUCCUGGGUUCAAUCCCCAGUACCUCCA
rnacentral:tRNA from 1 species